GGCUCUGUGGCGCAAUGGAUAGCGCAUUGGACUUCUAGAGACGAAAAGAGCAAUUCAAAGGUUGUGGGUUCGAAUCCCACCAGAGUCG
rnacentral:tRNA from 1 species